rnacentral:rRNA from 1 species
UACGGGGGGAGCAAGCGUUGUUCGGAAUUACUGGGCGUAAAGGGCGCGUAGGCGGCACGGCAAGUCAGAAGUGAAAGGCCUGGGCUCAACCCGAGGAACUGCUUUUGAGACUGCCGAGCUAGAGUGCGGAAGGGGCAACCGGAAUUCCCAGUGUAGCGGUGAAAUGCGUAGAUAUUGGGAAGAACACCUGAGGCGAAGGCGGGUUGCUGGGCCGACACUGACGCUGAGGCGCGAAAGCCAGGGGAGCAAACGGG